rnacentral:lncRNA from 1 species
CGCAGGCCGGGCUGGGGGCGGGAGGGCAGGCCCGGAGCGGUCGGGCUGCGACGGAGACCUGGAGAAGCAGCUACGGCAGCAACGGAGGCCGCCGGCAGGACCGCCCACCCACCUGCCCCCAAACGGCCGGGGCAGAUGGGCCCGGGAUCCUUCCGCCCCCUCCGCUCCUCCUUCCUGCCCCUGCCCAGGACCCUCUCUGAGAGGCAGGGCGGGCCCGGGCCUCGUGGGGGGGACCGGCACGGUACGGGAUGGGGGAAGGGGGCGGGGGAAGGAGAGGGGACCCGGAGCCCAUGGAGACAGAAGCCCCUCAGCGGUCGGGGCAGGACCGCCGGGCCAGGGGACCAGAGGGCAGGGGGAGUUCCAGAAGCUAGAGAGGCAGUGUACUUAGCGAAAAGAGCACGGACAUGGGAGUCGGAAGUCAUGGGUUCUAACCCCGGCUCCGCCACUUGUCAGCUGUGUGACUCUGGCCAGGUCGCCUCACUUCUUAGUUACCUGUAAAAUGGGGAUGAAGGCUGUGAGCCCCACGUGGGACGACCUGAUUACCUUGCGUCUCCCCCAGCACUUAGAACAGUACUUGGCACCUAAUAAGCGCUUAACAAAUACCAUUAUUAUUAUUAUUAUAGUUAGAGGGUGGCGGGGGAAGAGCGGGGAGGUCAGUGGCCGGGCCUCCCUGGCCCAGGGGCAGCAGGAGAGCCCAGCUGUGGGUGAGACAGGGAACGGCUGGCCCCGCCUGAAAGCUAGAGCACUACCUGUCUGCUGUGUGACCUUGAGCAAGUCACUUCGUUUCUCCGUGCCUCGGUCACCUCAUCUACAAGACGGGGAUUAAGACACGGACUGCGUCCGUCCCGACUGGCUUGCAUCUCCCCCAGCGUUUAGAACAGUGCUUGGCAUAUAGUAAGCGCUUAACGCAUACCAGAACGACGACGACAAAAAAGGAGGGAGCCAUCUGAGGGGGCGGCCCUACGGGAGUCAGGAGUCCCAGUUCCGCUCCGGGCCUGUUGCCAAAUCAUCUGCCCCUUUUGGGCCUCAGGCUCCUCAUCUGUAAAAUGGGGAUGAUAAGCCCUGCCUCCCCGUUGGCACAGAGAGGUUGUGAGGACAAACGAGAGGAAUUAAGGGGCCAGUGCUCCGGGAAACAAACAAGGAACGCCGGUUGUGUGCCAGGAUGAGAGAGCACAGCCCCGGAGGUAAAAUGAUAAGGAGGGCCCGGGCCGGGCCGCCCAUCUCUUCCCCUGCGGCCGGGAGGGGCUGAUCCGGAGGCCCUGUCUCAGCUCCUCGCCCGCAUCCCGGGGGGCGCUGGGACUAGAGGAGUUCAGGUGAUCAGGAGGCGAGGGCUUUGCCCCAGACCGAGGAGGACAGGAGGCCCAGCGGCUGCCUCUCGGCUGCUAAUCUCAUGCCUCCUCCAAGAAGCCUUCCCCUAACCGACCCCUCAUUUCCCCACCCUUUUCUCCCUUCUUCCUAUAUUGCUUACACGUGUGGAUCGGCAUCGCUUAAGCCCUCGGAUAAGCACCCCGCUUACAUCCAUAUCCUUCUACUCUGCCGUUUCCCCUAGAUGUCAUUUAUUAUUUUAUUAUUUAUUUAUAUUAACGUCGGUCUCCCCCCUCUGCACUGUAAGCUCCUUUUGGGCAGGGAAUGCGACUGCCAGCUCCGUUACAUUGUACUCUUCCACACGCUUAGUACAGUGCUCUGCACCGAGUAAGCACUCAAUAAAUACCAUAGAUGAUGCCGAUUUUCAUAUCAGAUUGCCCCUCUAGACUGUAAAUUCCUUGAGGGAAGGGACUGUGUCCACCAGCCAUAAUGUACAUCUUCUCCCAAGCCUCCAGUGCUGUGUAGUGUACAUAGUUAAUAAUAAUAAUCACGGUACUUGUUAAGCGCUUAUUAAGUGCCAGGCACUGUACUAAGCAGUGGGGUAGAGACAAGGUGAUCAGGUUCGACACAGUCGCUGUACUACACUGGACUCACGCUCUCAUCCCCAUUUUACAGAUGAGGUAACUGAGGCACAGAGAAGCGAAGCGACUCUCCCAAGGGCACAGAGCAGGCGUGUGAUGGAGC